UGCAAAUUAUAAAAUUGUAGGCUUAAUGUUAGUAAUUUUAACAGGUGAAUUUUCUUUAAUAAAGUCAAUGUAAAUAUUUAUACAGGCUUCGAUACAACUGAAUUUCACGCAGUUUUGUUUGACUCAUUAAAAGAAAGGCAAUCAAGUUAACGCCUGAUAAUUGUAGAAAGAGAAGUGACCUACAAAUAGGUUGCAAGUACUGUUAACUUGUAGAACUACAUCUGGCGUUCGACGCUGAGUCCCAUUUCAUUGAUGUAAAUUCUUUGUUACAAUUUGCAAAUGUAAAAUGGUAACACAAUUGUAUAAUAAUUUUAUCCGCUCAAAAUCAAAUUUUCGUUUUUUGCAAAUCUAAAUGUCUUUACGGCGAUUCUUGAUAUUAAUUCGUUGCUGGUUACGUCAUAACUACAAUAUGGUUCAAUCACUUCUAAAAUCGAAAAUAAAAAUAUUACCCUACAUUUAAUUCGUAUAAAAGCUUCAAGUUUUUUGCUGUUUUUGCUGAUUUUUGCUGCUGUACCAGCUUAAACGCUUCUUCAUAAUCUU